GACGAACGCUGGCGGCGUGCCUAAUACAUGCAAGUCGAACGAACCGCGACUAGGUGCUUGCACUUGGUCAAGGUGAGUGGCGAACGGGUGAGUAACACGUGGGUAACCAACCUCAUAGUGGGGGAUAACAGUCGGAAACGACUGCUAAUACCGCAUAGGACAUAGGAUCACAUGAUUCUGUGAGGAAAGGUGGCGCAAGCUAUCGCUAAGAGAUGGACCCGCGGUGCAUUAGCUAGUUGGUAGGGUAAAGGCCUACCAAGGCGAUGAUGCAUAGCCGACCUGAGAGGGUGAUCGGCCACAUUGGGACUGAGACACGGCCCAAACUCCUACGGGAGGCAGCAGUAGGGAAUCUUCCGCAAUGGACGCAAGUCUGACGGAGCAACGCCGCGUGAGUGAAGAAGGUCUUCGGAUCGUAAAGCUCUGUUGUUAGAGAAGAACAGCGCAUAGAGUAACUGUUAUGCGUGUGACGGUAUCUAACCAGAAAGCCACGGCUAACUACGUG
rnacentral:rRNA from 1 species